rnacentral:rRNA from 1 species
GACGAAGGGGGCUAGCGUUGUUCGGAAUUACUGGGCGUAAAGCGAGUGUAGGUGGUUGUCCAAGUUGGAUGUGAAAGCCUUGAGCUCAACUCAAGAAAUGCAUUCAGGACUGGGCGGCUAGAGGACCGGAGAGGAUAGUGGAAUUCCCAGUGUAGUGGUGAAAUACGUAGAGAUUGGGAAGAACACCAGUGGCGAAGGCGGCUAUCUGGCCGGUUUCUGACACUAAGACUCGAAAGCGUGGGGAGCAAACAGG